CAGGCCUCCCUCUGCUUGGUUCCAGUCGUGGGCAUGAGUGAAGGGCGAUGCUUGAUGGCUUUGAUGCCAUCGGUGGGAAUGUGUUUAAGCAUCGGCCUUCCCUCAUGUCCACGAUGGUCUACAGUCUUGGGUAUGAGUCAGUGACGAUGCUUGUUUGUUUUGAUGCUUGCGUUUGAACUUGCUUGUUUAGAUGCUUGCGUUGGAACUUGCUUGUUUAGAUGCUUGUGUUGGAACUUGCUUAAGCAACCGACCUGACGAAGUACCCAUGAAUGUCGCCCACGAUGGUCUACAGUCUUGGGUAUGAGUCAGUGACGAUGCUUGUUUGUUUUGAUGCUUGCGUUUGAACUUGCUUAAGCAACCGACCCGACGAAGUACCCAUGAAUGUCGCCCACGAUGGUCUACAGUCUUGGGUAUGAGUCAGUGACGAUGCUUGUUUGUUUUGAUGCUUGCGUUUGAACUUGCUUAAGCAACCGACCCGACGAAGUACCCAUGAAUGUCGCCCACGAUGGUCUACAGUCUUGGGUAUGAGUCAGUGACGAUGCUUGUUUGUUUUGAUGCUUGCGUUUGAACUUGCUUGAGCAACUGAUCCGACGAAGUACCCAUGAAUGUUCAACCUAGUAGGGACAUGUCCCUGCGCCCAACGACAUUUUUUGUCGGGAUCGUGGCAAGUCUGCGAUCCAGGGGGUGAUGUUGAGAGCCUGAAGGCAAGGGGGUGCAAACACCAGUCGGCCUUUGUCCCGAUUGCUGAGUGUUAUGUGCUUGAUGUCCAAGGCUUGAUGCUGAUCCUCCAAGUGGGGCUUGUCCCUGCACUAAUGGCUUUUGCCAGGAUCAUGGCGUUUGCUAUGAUCGAAAAAAUGAGGGGGUGAUGUUGAGAGCCGGAAGGCAAGGGGGUGCAAACACCAGUCGGCCUUUGUCCCGAUUGCUGAGUGUUAUGUGCUUGACGUCUAAGGCUUGAUGUUGACCCUCCAAGUGGGGCUUUUUUGUUCCUGCGGUAACGACUUUGUUGGGAUCAUUGUGAUCAAGGUUGGUUGGUUUCGUAUUGUGGUGGGUUUUUUCGAAGCUUCUAUCGUUGUUUUACGCAUCGUGCGGUGCAUCUUGGGGGUUGUUCUGGCUUUUGGUUGCUUGCUUGGGCUUUAUGCUAGGCGGGUGGCUAAU
rnacentral:misc_RNA from 1 species